CUGAAAGCCAAACAAGACCAGCUGAAGCGAGAGAGGCUUCUCUGGAAAGAUGUGAUGAUGGUUGAAGAGGAGCCGGGCAAAAGGCCCAGGUACACUAUCAGUGCUCUGAAGGAAGAGCAGCAGAGGAGGCAGGAGGAGGCUGAGCUCCGUCAACUGCCACAGGUAGGAGACCCAGCCAGCCGGGAUCCCCUGACCUCUGAGCACAAGGCGACACAACAGCAGGGCAGAAGGAAGACUCUGUAUAACAACUGGGUUGGAGAGGGAAAAAAAAACAGAUAGUGCACCUGUGAAAGAAAAGCCCCACCCGAAUGACUCCACCUAUCUCCUCUUUGCUGCAAAACAAGGCCUGAAGUCUGAAGACAAGCCAAAGGCCCCUAAACCCAGCGUGCCGCGGCAGUGGCUGGACAAACUUAAAGUUGGAAGCUUGGUGGAAAAAUACCGAAGCCAUAGAGAGAGGCUGGACCAGAAAAGACAGCUCAAGGCUGAGGAGCAGCACGCUCGUUUUUCUGCCUACAAAGAGAGCCGGGCUCACCUGUUUGCUCGCCAACAUGAUUGUUACAUGGGAGGAUUUGCUCAGAAAAGAAACAGCAUCCUCGGAUCCAUGUUUUAAAUGUUCUUUUUACUUUUUUGCUUUGAUAUUCAGCACAAUAAAACAUUGUUGAAAUGAAAA